CGCACCUUGCGCUCCUUGGUAUUCCGAGGAGCAUGCCUGUUUGAGUGUCAUUAAAUUCUCAACCUCUCUAGUUUGCUAGCAGAUGGCUUGGAUGUGGGGGUUUUUUUGCAGGCUUUCACAAGUCAGCUCCCCUGAAAUGUAUUAGCCGGUACCUUCUAACCGUCUAUUGGUGUGAUAAUUAUCUACGCCGUGGACAUUGAAGCUGUACUGCUUAUAAUCGUCUUGCAUUAGACAAUUUAUGACAUUUUGACCUCAAAUCAGGUAGGAUUACCCGCUGAACUUAA
rnacentral:misc_RNA from 1 species